GAAUUUCCUUUUAUUCUUUAAAGCCCCGGGGAACAAAAAUCACAAAAAGCCCUAAGAAGAUUAACAGCUUCCUACGUGGUUCAACUGAUCUUGAGCCAUCAUAUGCAUCUGUAGCAAAGGCAGCUACCAUCAAUUCUGACACUGUCACAGGCUCAGUGAAUGACACAGCAUCUGACUCUGGCAGACGUAUUGUCAAGAAAGAGCAAAGCCACUCUUGCAGUUCUCCCUGGGUGGAGCCUCAAGCAGCUGUCAUGGUUUAUACAAAACUCUCAUUAAAGAAAAAACAACAAGCGGUGAGUGUCCUGUUUGCUGAAAUCCAGAAAGUGUCUGCACUAAGAGAGUGGAGCCACCUGCCUCAGAGGUUUGCCCAGGCCAAUCCCAGCCAUCCAGGAGGAACAGACAUGGAGCCAUAGGGAGAACCUGUCAUUUUCUUAGAGCAAUUUGCAGGUCUGCAAUAUUGCUGUAAGUAACUAUUCACUGUCCUUUCAGUCAAAAUCCAUACAGAACAAAGGAAUAUACUCUUUUAGUAUGCAAUGUCUUGAAAAUAAAAAUCCAACUUACAGCA
rnacentral:lncRNA from 1 species